rnacentral:tRNA from 1 species
GCCGGAGUGGUGGAAUUGGCAUACGCGUCGGUUUCAAAAACCGAUGAGGUUCACCCUCAUGGGGGUUCGAGUCCCCCCUCCGGCA